CAGUAGCCGCGGUAAUACGUAGGGUGCGAGCGUUAAUCGGAAUUACUGGGCGUAAAGCGCACGCAGGCGGUUUGUUAAGUCAGAUGUGAAAUCCCCGAGCUUAACUUGGGAACUGCAUUUGAAACUGGCAAGCUAGAGUCUUGUAGAGGGGGGUAGAAUUCCAGGUGUAGCGGUGAAAUGCGUAGAGAUCUGGAGGAAUACCGGUGGCGAAGGCGGCCCCCUGGACAAAGACUGACGCUCAGGUGCGAAAGCGUGGGGAGCAAACAGGAUUAGAUACCCCUGUAGUCCCUGUCUCUUAUAC
rnacentral:rRNA from 1 species